rnacentral:rRNA from 1 species
UACGGAGGGAGCUAGCGUUGUUCGGAAUUACUGGGCGUAAAGCGCGCGUAGGCGGCUUUGUAAGUUAGAGGUGAAAGCCCGGGGCUCAACCCCGGAAUUGCCUUUAAGACUGCAUCGCUUGAAUCCGGGAGAGGUGAGUGGAAUUCCUAGUGUAGAGGUGAAAUUCGUAGAUAUUAGGAAGAACACCGGUGGCGAAGGCGGCCCACUGGAUCGGUACUGACGCUGAGGUGCGAAAGCGUGGGGAGCAAACAGG